UUGUGGCGACUCUAGAACGAGACUGCCGGUGACAAACCGGAGGAAGGUGGGGAUGACGUCAAGUCAUCAUGGCCCUUACGGCCUGGGCUACACACGUGCUACAAUGGUCGGUACAAAGGGUUGCCAAGCCGCGAGGUGGAGCUAAUCCCAUAAAACCGAUCGUAGUCCGGAUCGCAGUCUGCAACUCGACUGCGUGAAGUCGGAAUCGCUAGUAAUCGUGAAUCAGAAUGUCACGGUGAAUACGUUCCCGGGCCUU
rnacentral:rRNA from 1 species